GACAAAAGUGGGGGCAGCGGGGCGCGCUGUGGGAUUCGCUAGCGGCGCCCUCUAGUGGCGUUUCGCGGAGCCUUGGCGGAAACCCUACUGGGAGCCGGUGUGUCCCCCAGUAACAUUUGCAAAUGAAAGAAGGCACUCAUGAAAGGUGGCCGGGUACCACUGUAUCAAUGGCCCAGUUGCCCAUCUCCUGGCGAGAGAUUUCCCUAAGUGACCUGGAAGUGUCACUAUUACCACCGCCCCACAUGAAUCUUGUGCUGGAGGCGACUAGAGCUGUGUGUCCCUCAGCAGAAGCAGGUGGCAUAAGCAAGAGUUCCAUUUUGGUUUCAUUUUCAGAGGACCCCAAUUGCGCAGUCUGCAAGAAAUAAUGUGCCUCUCAGGAUGGUUCCAAGCUGAGCCCAAAUCACUGAGGGAGAUUCACUGCUUGCUAACAUGAACUUUAUUCCUGGAUAAACAAGUCCCAAACCGUCUUGUCCAUAUGCCACCACGGUCAGGUCAAAACACACAUUAUCAGCUGGGUGCGGUGGCUCACGCUUGUAAUCCCAGCACUUCGGGAGGCCGAGGUGGGCGGAUCACUUGAGGUCAGGAGUUGGAGAUCAGCCUGGCCAACAUGGUGAAACCCCGUCUCUACUAAAAAUACAAAAAUUAGCCGGGCGUGGUGGUACGUGUCUGUAGUCCCAGGUACUCAGAAGGCUGAAGACAUGAGAAUCGCUUGAACCCAGGGGGCGGAGGUUGCUGAGCUGAGAUCAUGCCACUGCACUCGAGCCUGGACAACAGAGUGAGAUCCUAUGCCAAAAACAAACAAUAAAAACCAACAACAAAAAAGUGCUUUAACAAGUGCGACUCUGUGAGAGACACUCUGCUAGAUGCUGGGGCCAUAAGAGUGAAAAUAAUAGUCUCUGCCCCAGAGGGGCUCAGGUCUGGCUCCUUGAUACAUUUCACAGAUGAGGAAACUGAGGCACUGAACUUUCUGGUUUCUUUCUCUGGGCUGGUUAUGCUGUACUCCCUUCACUGAGUAUUUUCCUCCCUUCAUGAAUUUUCAAGAGUUUCACUCUUGUUGCCCAGGCUGGAGUGCAAUGGCGUGAUCUCGGCUCACUGCAACCUCCAACUC
rnacentral:lncRNA from 10 species